UGUGACAAAGCAAUGGAAAGGUAUGCUAUGAAUGUAAGAUGUAUGAAGUAUUCUUCAUACAUUUCUUCAUUUUCAAUCUUUCCUUUAAGACUGUUCAUAUUUGUGACAAACUUCAUAACAAAACAUUUCAAAGUUAGAGAAGUUUGUCAU
ensembl:miRNA Gm22095 predicted gene, 22095